AUCAUAUAUUACUAAUAAAGAAUGUUUAAGGAAGUUUAUAAAGUUACAAUUGUGAGGAUAUUCUCCUUGAUGUCUAUCUUAGAGUACAAAUUUCAUAAAGGCAGAAAACUUCACUGUUUUGUUCAUUAUUAUAACUUCACUGUCUGGCCUAGGAUAAGGGCUUAAAAUAUUGAUGAAAGAGUUACGGUAUUGGAAUCGACUAACAACUGAACAACUGCCACCCUUUCUACUGUAAGGACACAAGCUAAAAAGAGCACAGGGUCUAUUUUAUACAUUUCUCUUAAAUUAUGAUCUAGCAGGGGAAGCAGAUAUGUGGCAUAUAUACCCUCAUUAACAAUGGUGUAAGUUUCAACAAACUACUCUCUCGCUCUCUUCCUCAGUCUGUACCUUUUAAAGGUGAUCAUUAGUCUGGUGUGAGACUCUAAAAGUGUAAAUGAGGACCAAAAUGUAUAACAUAGGACUGAAGGGGAAGUAGAGAGGGGAGUAGGGGAAAGGAAAGAAGGGAAAGAAUGGAAACAAUUUUUAUAAAUAGGAAGUUGUGGAGAGGUAGAAGAAAGGGAAGGGGAAUGGGGAAAAACAAGAAACAAGAUAUAUCACGCACAGGUACAAAUUCCCCAUGAUGAAUGUGAUCAUAAUGUAUACUUAAAAUGUACUAAUAAACUGAAUGGGAAAAAAUAAAGUGAUCAUUAGAAUAACUUCCUCAAAGAGCUCAUCUAUCCAUUUGUUCAUUCUGUAAAGAGAAUCCAUCCAAAGCUAGGUUCUAGGACCAACUUUAUGGGAAUCACAAGGGCCACUUCUUAAUGAUGCAGAUUCCUAUCUCCUAUAAUCUUCCUUUUAACAACUAUCAGUGGUUGAUCAUAUGGACCCUUUUGUUGUAAACCAAAGGGUGAAGUGAGUUAUUUUGAAGAUUAAACAAGAUGCUAUAUAUGAAGCAAAGAGCACUGUCUUAUUUUUCUUGCUGCUGAGACAAAAUACUCAAUACCCAAAGUUAAAGGGGAAAAAGUUUAUUUAGCUCACAGUUUGUAGAGGUUUCAGUCCAUAAUCAGCUGGCUCCAAGGCAGGGUGGCGUGGCAGAGGGGCAUCACAGAGGAGAAACAGUUUGUGGUGGGCAGAAGAUAAUAAAGCAACAAGGGACAACCACAGCUCUUUCUAUCCCUUAUAUCCUAUCCAGGCUGCUUAGAGCAGGUAGCACUCACACCCUCAAUCCUAGUGCCCUUGAUCCUAGCAUUGCAGGGUGGAUCAACUGCACUGUCACACAGUCUAGGUCCAGCCACCUUUGAAAAAGCCCCACCUAUGACUGCACCAGGCUCUGGGGGAUAACCAUAACGAGCACAGAGCCUAGCACAUAGUCACUACCACACAUCAUUAUAUCUACCUUUGCCUGACUUGCCUGACUAUCCAUCUACUCCUAACGAGCAAAUAUAAUACUUUCAUUUCUCCCUCUAAUUCCAUCAGGUUUUUCUCUUAUAUUUGCCUUUCCCACCUUGUUCUACUCAAAAUAAUCAGAGGCCUAUCCCUGCACCAAGUGAUGAGAGAAUUGUAGACAGUGAAGACACAGACCCGAUGUUCAAAGAAGUCCUGUCAGAGAGGAGACCUCUAGUACUCCUGGGUAUCUCAGCCUUUGAAAUUUGACUGCACAAACUGCCUCUUCUCUCGCUUCUCCUGUCCUGUGAAUCCAAGUUCCAUGCUCACGGAGGACUCUGGCUCUUAUUUCCAAACCAUCUCUGGCCCAUGCUUCUUUGGCACUUGGAGACAGACACAAGUUACCAAUUCACCUCAUCCUCCCUCAGCAAUUCAGAACAUCUUCCUCCUCAGGGUGAUCACAGGUACCAGGGAUUGAACUCGGGACCUUGCGCUUUCAAGGGGGCUGGUGGAACCACUGAGCUAAAUCCUGGCCCUUACUCAUAGCCCCUUAUCAUCUAAGAGUUGCCCUAAGGGUCUUAAACCUCUGUAUGUCUGAGUUGAUCAAGGAUGGAGAGACAACAGGGCACACCUUGAACAAGACACACAGACAAGGUGUGGGGGAACUGUCCUUAGCAGCAGUUCUGAAAUUAGGAAGGCUGAAGGCAGUCUCCUCCCCAGGCGGGUUGAUCCUACCUCAACUCCAAGGGUGGCCUGAUUGGUGUGGAGGAAAACCCCACCCAGUCCCUUGGCUCAGGACCAGCUGUGUGACACCACAUUGGCCAAGAAGAUGAGAGCAAAAGCUUUCCUGGGACCUUCUGGAAAAGAAUUCCUUCUCGCAGGGGCCUUUUCCAUUUCUGGUUGCUGUCUGAUCUGCAUGUGAACCC
rnacentral:lncRNA from 1 species